GUUAAAUUGCUGCGGUGCACAUAAGACAUAGUCAAGUACGACGGAAAUACGUUAUUAAUGGAAUAAGAUUAUACUGAAUAAGUUAAUAACAAUGAUUUAGUGCGGACUGGUGAGUAACACGUAAGCAACCUGCCUAUUAGAGGGGAAGUAACAGUGAGAAAUCACUGCUAAUACCGCAUAAGCUGACAAUACCGCAUGGUAUAGUCAGAAAAGGAGAAAUCCGCUAAUAGAUGGGCUUGCGUCCGAUUAGCUAGUUGGUGGGGUAAAGGCCUACCAAGGCAACGAUCGGUAGCCGAGCUGAGAGGCUCAACGGCCACAUUGGGACUGAGAUACGGCCCAGACUCCUACGGGAGGCAGCAGUCGGGAAUAUUGCACAAUGGAGGAAACUCUGAUGCAGUGACACCGCGUAUAGGAAGAAGGUUUUCGGAUUGUAAACUAUUUUAGACAGGGAAGAAAAAAGACAGUACCUGUAGAAUAGGCUCCGGCUAACCACGUG
rnacentral:rRNA from 1 species